rnacentral:rRNA from 1 species
UGAAUACGAGAUGCUACGGCAUCGAAGCAGUCUAUGUCAUACUUCCAAGAAAAGCUUGCACUGUCAUAAACAAAUAAUGCCUGUACCAUAACCGACACAGGUGGGUAGGUAGAGUAUACUAAGGGGCGCGAGAUAACUCUCUCUAAGGAACUCGCAAAAUGACUCCGUAACUUCGGGAGAAGGAGUGCCUUAUUUUAUAAGGUUGCAAUAACAAGAUCCAAGCAACUGUUUACUAAAAACACAGGUCUCCGCUAAGUCGUAAGACGAUGUAUGGGGGCUGACGCCUGCCCAGUGCCAGAAGGUUAAAGAAGUUGGUUAGCAUUAGCGAAGCUGAUAACUGAAGCCCUGGUGAACGGCGGCCGUAACAAUAACGGUCCUAAGGUAGCGAAAUUCCUUGUCGGGUAAGUUCCGACCCGCACGAAAGGCGUAAUGAUUUGGAUACUGUCUCGGAGAGGGGCUCGGUGAAAUAGACUUGUCUGUGAAGAUGCGGACUACCUGCACCAGGACAGAAAGACCCUAUGAAGCUUUACUGUAACUUGAGAUUGAAAUUGGACUUUAUUUGCGCAGUAUAGGUGGGAGACGUUGAAAAUAUUCUUGCGGGAAUAUUGGAGUCAUCAGUGAGAUACCACUCUUAUAAUGUUAGAUUUCUAACUUUGUAUCAUUAUCUGGUCAAAGAACAGUCUCAGGCGGGCAGUUUGACUGGGGCGGUCGCCUCCCAAACGGUAACGGAGGCGCACAAAGGUUUCCUCUGAACGUGUAGAAAUCGUAUCUAGAGUGUAAAGGCAUAAGGAAGCUUGACUGUGAGACCUACAUGUCGAGCAGGGACGAAAGUCGGUCUUAGUGAUCUGACGGUGCUGAGUGGAAAGGCCGUCACUCAACGGAUAAAAGUUACUCUAGGAUAACAGGCUGAUCUCCCCCAAGAGUUCACAUCGACGGGGAGGUUUGGCACCUCGAUGUCGGCUCAUCGCAUCCUGGGGCGGUAGUACGUCCCAAGGGUUGGGCUGUUCGCCCAUGAAAGCGGUACGCGAGCUGGGUUCAGAACGUCGUGAGACAGUUCGGUCCAUAUCCGGUGUAGGCGUUAGAAUAUUGAGAGGAGCCUUCUUUAGUACGAGAGGACCGAGAAGGACAUACCUCUGGUGUACCAGUUAUCGUGCCAACGGUAAACGCUGGGUAGCUAUGUAUGGAGAGGAUAACCGCUGAAAGCAUCUAGGUGGGAAGCCCACCUCAAGAUAAGUAUUC